UACGGGAGGCAGCAGUGGGGAAUAUUGCACAAUGGGCGCAAGCCUGAUGCAGCCAUGCCGCGUGUAUGAAGAAGGCCUUCGGGUUGUAAAGUACUUUCAGUCGUGAGGAAGGUGUUAAGGUUAAUAACCUUAGCAAUUGACGUUAGCGACAGAAGAAGCACCGGCUAACUCCGUGCCAGCAGCCGCGGUAAUACGGAGGGUGUGAGCGUUAAUCGGAAUUACUGGGCGUAAAGGGCACGCAGGCGGUUAAUUAAGUUGGAUGUGAAAUCCCCGGGCUUAACCUGGGAAUGGCAUUCAAGACUGGUUAGCUAGAGUCUUGUAGAGGGGGUAGAAUUCCAUGUGUAGCGGUGAAAUGCGUAGAGAUGUGGAGGAAUACCGGUGGCGAAGGCGGCCCCUGGGACAAAGACUGACGCUCAUGUGCGAAAGCGUGGGGAGCGAAACAGGGAUUAGAUACC
rnacentral:rRNA from 1 species